AUUGAACGCUGGCGGCAGGCCUAACACAUGCAAGUCGAACGAGUGGCGGACGGGUGAGUAAUGUCUGGGAAACUGCCCGAUGGAGGGGGAUAACUACUGGAAACGGUAGCUAAUACCGCAUACCAUCGGAUGUGCCCAGAUGGGAUUAGCUAGUCGGUGGGGUAAAGGAUCACCUAGGCGACGAUCCCUAGCUGGUUUGAGAGGAUGACCAGCCACACUGUAACUGAGACACGGUCCAGCCUCCUACGGGAGGCAGCAGUGGGGAAUAUUGCACAAUGGGCGCAAGCCUGAUGCAGCCAUGCCGCGUGUAUGAAGAAGGCCUUCGGGUUGUAAAGUACUUUCAGCGGGGAGGCGUUACCCGCAGAAGAAGCACCGGCUAACUCCGUGCCAGCAGCCGCGGUAAUAC
rnacentral:rRNA from 1 species